GCGGGCGAGUGAAGCGGCAAGAGCUCAGAUUUGAAAUCGCCUCGGCGAGUUGUAAAUUGCAGGUUGGAGUCUUUGUGGCGGCGUGUGUCUAAGUCCCUUGGAACAGGGCGCCAUUGAGGGUGAGAGCCCCGUGCGGCACGCGYYGWAGCUUUAAGACCCUUCUGACGAGUCGAGUUGUUUGGGAAUGCAGCUCUAAGUGGGUGGUAAAUUCCAUCUAAGGCUAAAUACUGGCGAGAGACCGAUGCAACAAGUACUGUGAAGGAAAGAUGAAAAGGCUUUUGAAAGAGGGGGAAACAGCCGGGAAUUGGUGAAGGAAGGGUUUGGGCCC
rnacentral:rRNA from 1 species